CCUACGGGCGCUGCAGUGGGGAAUAUUGGACAAUGGGCGAAAGCCUGAUCCAGCCAUGCCGCGUGUGUGAAGAAGGCCUUCGGGUUGUAAAGCACUUUCAGUGGGGAAGAAAGCCUUGGGGCUAAUACCCUCGAGGAAGGACAUCACCCACAGAAGAAGCACCGGCUAACUCCGUGCCAGCAGCCGCGGUAAUACGGAGGGUGCGAGCGUUAAUCGGAAUUACUGGGCGUAAAGCGCGCGUAGGCGGUCUGAUAAGCCGGUUGUGAAAGCCCCGGGCUCAACCUGGGAACGGCAUCCGGAACUGUCAGGCUAGAGUGCAGGAGAGGAAGGUAGAAUUCCCGGUGUAGCGGUGAAAUGCGUAGAGAUCGGGAGGAAGACCAGUGGCGAAGGCGGCCGUCUGGACUGACACUGACGCUGAGGUGCGAAAGCGUGGGUAGCAAACAGGAUUAGAUACCCGAGUAGUC
rnacentral:rRNA from 1 species